GGGAAGGUGGGAAGGAGUCAAGGAUGAUGGAGGAAGAAAUGGGUGUUGAAACUUUGAUUUGGCGAUCUAGAUUGGACGCCACAAGGGCAGAGUGAACGAACUUCAGGGCAUUGACAAGGACUGGUGCUGCAUUAGGAANNNNNCUCGGAACCCACUGAAAUGGCUGUAAUAUUGGUGGCUGGAUAAUGAGCAACAACAUUGUGGGAGACCCAAUUAGCUGCAGUGGAAUUUGACUGACCUAUGCCCAAGAUCUGUUCAUUAGGCACAGAGACCAUAACCUGAAU
rnacentral:misc_RNA from 1 species